CCUCGGAUCAGGUAGGGAUACCCGCUGAACUUAAGCAUAUCAAUAAGCGGAGGAAAAGAAACCAACCGGGAUUGCCUCAGUAACGGCGAGUGAAGCGGCAAGAGCUCAAAUUUGAAAGCUGGCCCCUCCGGGGUCCGCGUUGUAAUUUGCAGAGGAUGCUUCGGGUGCAGCCCCCGUCUAAGUGCCCUGGAACGGGCCGUCAUAGAGGGUGAGAAUCCCGUAUGGGGCGGGGUGUCUGCGUCCGUGUGAAGCUCCUUCGACGAGUCGAGUUGUUUGGGAAUGCAGCUCUAAAUGGGUGGUAAAUUUCAUCUAAAGCUAAAUACUGGCCGGAGACCGAUAGCGCACAAGUAGAGUGAUCGAAAGAUGAAAAGCACUUUGAAAAGAGAGUUAAAUAGCACGUGAAAUUGUUGAAAGGGAAGCGCUUGCAACCAGACUCGCCUCCGGGGUUCAGCCGGCCUUCGGGCCGGUGUACUUCCCCGGGGGCGGGCCAGCGUCGGUUUGGGCGGCCGGUCAAAGGCCUCCGGAAUGUAGCGCCCUUCGGGGCGCCUUAUAGCCGGGGGUGCAAUGCGGCCAGCCUGGACCGAGGAACGCGCUUCGGCACGGACGCUGGCAUAAUGGUUGUAAACGACC
rnacentral:rRNA from 1 species